rnacentral:lncRNA from 1 species
UUUGUUUUUAAAACAAAAACCUAGCUACUUUCAAAAAAAAAAAAAAAAAAAAAAACAACAGCCACGCAUCAUAACAUUCUCUCCCUCUCGUUUUGAUUCCGGUGAUCGGAGUAGAAUUCCGGCAACCACAGCACACCCAAACCUCUCCUCUGGUUAUACACUCCCUGUAAGACGACGGCGGUGGUGUGGCAGCCUCGGCGGCCGGCGAAGCAACCCCAUGUCUCUCCGGUUCGUGACUUGGGUGAAGGACUAGUCAAGGUAGAGGUGGCUGUGGUUCGAUUCGGUUCCGGCAGGUGACGACGAAGCUGCAGCGACGUGAUGAAGAUGACGGUGGGUCUCGGCAGAAGUUGAAGCUGGUGGUUGUUCCGGCUAGCGGCGCCGGCGACGGAGACGACGACGGCAGCAGGUGGUCCGUGAACUCGUGAAUCACUGGGUCAGUUAUGUCCAUCUGUGGUGUGGUUGACCAACUCAGGACAAACGCUUUAUUUACCGAGGAAAGCAAAGGUCUUUAGGUCCAUAAGGACUGGAACUUGCUAUCUGGGAAGCUGGAGUGGUCAUGGGUCGAGAUACGUGGAAACACAGCACAACGCAGAGAGCUUUUACAUGUGAUUUAUAAACACUUAACGAAUUAAAUAUGCUUCCGCUGUAAACUGUGAACUAUUGUAACACCUACUGUUAAUUAAUGAAAGUUUUAUUUUCAUAUACCUAUGAGUUCAAUGUGAUUAAUGGCUAAGAUCCUGGUACGUCACGCGCCCCGCGGUAUUUCCACAUGUGGUAUUUUGGGGGUGUGACAUAUUCACCUAUCAAUCAAGGUCGCGAGGCGUGUUCGAGAGUAGCGAUUGCGAGUAGCGAGUACACAGCGAGUAAUAUUGCGAGUUGUAUAGCGUAAGUGAGCAUCAUAGCAUGCGAUUUGUUAGCGUAUUGAGAUAGAUGUGCAGUGCGGGUUGUGUGUGAAAGCGAAAAAGCGAAAAGCGUACAAAUCACCAAAAAUCGAAACACAUAAACAUGUAAAACCACAUAAAAUUUCACAUAAAAGCGAUAAAUCACAGAGUCAGCGGUUGCGGAUCCAGAAUCGAAACACGUAAAAUCGGGAAUAGAUUGUCUCGGCUGAUAGACAUCGACUACCCAAAGUGAUUCGACUAUUCUCAAGGACUUUGAGUGCACGUUUCGGCCUAAUAGACUAUUCUUAAGAACUUGUGUGCACAAUAUAUU